rnacentral:lncRNA from 1 species
UAGAUACUCUUUUAGCUUAACUCGUUCCUCGUGUUGCUUGCAUAUUUGGACACUCUAUACUCCAAGCUGUUUUAACAAAAGAAAAAAGAAGGCAGUCAAAUGGCCACUACUGCUUCUCCAAUGGCCAGCCAGCUCAAAAGCAGCCUUGCCUCAUCUCUAGGAAGGAGGCUUGUCAUCCCCAGAGGCAUUUCUGGAGCUCCAUUUAGAGUUUCGCCCAACAAGAGAAGCUUCACUGUCAAAGCCGUUCAAGCAGACAAGGUAAGAAGUAUUCUUUUCUCCUGCCUGCCUUUUCUUGUUGACCAUGUCUAGCUAGUACUAUUGUUGUUUAGAUGCUCCGAGCACAACCAGUUAGUUACUGACCAUGUACUUCUGUUAUGUCAAAAGUUAUAACUUGUAGUGGAAAAUUGAAAUGGAUAAAAAGGGCUCAUGUGAAAUCAUAAUAAGGACAUCCUUUGUUCAAAUCUUGCAGCCAACUUACCAAGUGGUUCAACCAAUCAAUGGCGAUCCCUUCAUUGGAAGUCUUGAGACUCCCGUUACAUCAAGCCCGCUGAUUGCAUGGUACCUGUCCAACCUCCCCGCCUACAGGACAGCAGUCAGUCCACUUCUCCGCGGAAUCGAGGUGGGGCUGGCCCAUGGCUUCCUCCUCGUAGGUCCAUUUGUCAAGGCUGGUCCACUGAGGAACACAGAGUAUGCAGGUGCUGCUGGAUCUUUGGCUGCAGGUGGUCUGAUCGUAAUCCUAAGCAUUUGCUUGACCAUGUAUGGAGCUGCAUCCUUCACUGAAGGAGAGCCAUCAAUUGCCCCAAGUCUAACCUUGACUGGAAGGAAGAAGGUGCCUGACCAGUUGCAAACUGCAGAUGGCUGGGCCAAGUUCACUGGAGGAUUCUUCUUUGGUGGGAUUUCUGGUGUCACCUGGGCAUUUUUCCUUCUCUAUGUCAUAAACCUUCCUUACUAUGUUAAGUAGAGAAAAUCUACAUUUUCCUUUGUUUGUUGCAACUCUCUCUGUCAAUGUAUA